ensembl:lncRNA
CACAAAUUGAGAUUUGACCAAUACUGAUAACAAAAAAGUCUCAAGGUAUAAACUCAUAGUGCUAUCAAACUUUUCAAGUAAAGGGUCAGUGGGUUUCUUGGUAGAUUUGCAUGAGGACAGUUUCUGAUGAAGAUGAAGAAAGAGUCAGGAGCCGAGGUGGGUUUGGCUGGACCUGGCAGUGGACUGGACGGAUAGGACACUCAUGUCGUGGAUGCUCAUCCCUGCAGCAGUGCCAGCAAACUGUAGCGUCAGUGUCAUUUGGUCCUGUCCUCAGCAAGCACAGCUUGCUGCUCAUCGUGCUGUUCACCAUCACAGGAAAGGACAUUUUCUCUGCUUGGUGCUGUCAGGUUGCACAUUGAAGCAACUAAUUGUAUGGAAUAGGCAUUGUGUAAGGUUAGAAGAAACCUGACUCUCUGAAAGGUUUCAGAGGGGAGGUUUUGGCACCAUAGAACCCAUGACUGGGAAAUGAUUGUAUUAGCUAGCUGUAUCUCCUCUAGAUACAAAUUGCAUCCAGCUGCCUGGCCAACAAAAGGGUGAAAAGAGGAGGAAUGCUGACCACACCUUUCCUCAAGCUGUUGAUUCCCUUUUCUUUUUUUCUUUUUCUUUUUUUUUUUCUUCUUUUUUAUUUUCUGCUGAGACAAGGCAGGAAACACAAUUUAAGUUGCCAGGGUGUUGAUACACACUGGCUGUGGUCUCCAGCUCAUUACUGUGGUCAGAGAAGUGCUUGCGGUGAGAUAUUUCACUCACUCCAGAGAAACUACAUACAUCAAAGGAGAGGAGAUCUCUUUCUUUCCUUCUCAUCCUUCCCACCACUCUAAAAAUCUAGAAGAGCAGUCAUCUGCAUUCUGCAUUCAUCUCAGUGUCGAGAGGAAAAAACAUUGCAACGAUUUUUCUGGAUUGGAAAAAACUCUUUCUCCCUACUUGGAUGGUAAAGCUGCUGUUACCAAGUGCCUAUGCUACUGCCAGCAAUAUGUCUCAGCCAGGGGCACAGGUUGCUCAGUUUUCAUCAAAGCAGCAGAGGGAAAUGGCUAUGUGGAGCAUGCUUUGCAGUUGCCUGCUGAAACCUCUGAGACUGGCUCUGAAUUUCCUGCUUUGAAACGUUUUGCUGCCAUAGUGCAACGGUUCAUGAAGCACAAUAACACUUCUCUUCUGGCCUCCAGGACACUCUCUCAUAUGGGCAGGAUGUGGCUCCCUGUGUUCCGUCUCCUCCUAGUUAUUUGUUUGUGUAAUGAAAUCUUCCACACUGACAUAGCAUUCUUGCAUGCUUUUAUAUAAGACAAACUACUUGUUUGAAAUAUCAUCAGUCCCUUGAAUUGCAAUGUAUAUGCUCUCCUUGUGUCUUUGUUGGUACUGCCUCUGCAAUACCAUAAAACAUUUAGAGAGGUGUUAUUCUGCUAAUGUGUACUGCAGUUGUGGCUGGAGCUGGGUUACAUUUUUCUGUAGUAAUUAACUGAGAAUUUUAGUUUGUACAUAGUGGUGGAUUAAACGGGAUGAUCAAAACGGGGGUCUCAUCUCAUAUGACCAAAUGCUUAGCAUUCAUGUUGGAGGUUGCUCCUCGUAGCAGAGUACUCUGAAUAGCUCAUGAAUCAAGCCUUGAAACUAGUUCGCAUUAGCAAACUGUCUGUAGGCCCUGCAGCAGCUCCAGAUCUGCUCCAAGAGCAGCCCAGCUACCCCUGAGGGCAGCACCCCUUCUAGAAAGGAUAAGGCAGAUGACAGAGCAUAAUGCAUGUUUCACGUGUCUGACUUCAAUACCCUACCAUGUGUGAGUAAGAACCCUUAGAUAUUUUACGGGGAGGAAAAAAAAAAAAAAGACAAUUAUUUAUGUACCAAAUAGCUACUAGAAGGGCUUUUGUUAUUCUGACUGAGUACAAUGUAUGUGAAAAGCAGAAAGAAUCAGCAUGAGAAAAAGAUACUAGAGACCAGCAUAGGUGAGCAGGAGAUGAAAGAAAGAAAAAGAUGAAGGCGGUAAAGGUGAGGCGGAAUGAGGCAGUAGCUACGAUGUCCUCUGCAAGUAUAUGUGAACCUGGUCUGUGUUCCAAAUCCUCUGGCUCGGUAGGACACUACUAAAGGUUGUUGUUUUUUUAACGCAGUCAAAAGUCUAUCAUUUGGAGAAGAGGUUGAUGCAUUUUGCCACCUCUGAACAAGCAUAAGCAGAAGUCAUCCUCUGUCAGUAGAAGUGAGCAAAAAUAACCUCUCAUGAGUGGUGGUUAAACGUCUUAGUC